rnacentral:tRNA from 1 species
GAUGCGUUAGCUCAGUUGGUAGAGCACUACACUUUUAAUGUAGGUGAGUGGCAUCA